GUUGGGACUCAUGAUAGAGGGACUGUAUCAUGCAUUAACUACAUCUAGAGGUUCAUAUUUUAUUCUGUUGGAUUGUCACUAUAUACUGUUAGGUGUCACUGGUGGAUUGUGAGACUCAUGAGGAUCAUCUUGAUGAUCAAUGAUCCUUGAUGGAAUGAGUUGAAAUUAUUCCAACCCAUUGAAAAGAGUUUCAAUGAUAUUGU
rnacentral:lncRNA from 1 species